CCCUUAGAUGUUCUGGGCCGCACGCGCGCUACACUGAUGCGUUCAACGAGUAUACAACCUUGAUCGAUAGGUCUGGGUAAUCUUUUGAAUGCGCAUCGUGCUAGGGAUAGACUGUUGCAAUUUUCAGUCUUGAACGAGGAAUUCCUAGUAAACGCAAGUCAUCAGCUUGCAUUGAUUACGUCCCUGCCCUUUGUACACACCGCCCGUCGCACCUACCGAUUGAAUGGUCCGGUGAAGCCUCCGGAUUGGCGCGCACCUCGGUGCCGCCGAGAAGUUGGCUAAACCUUACCAUUUAGAGGAAGGUGAAGUCGUANCA
rnacentral:rRNA from 1 species